AAGUCGUAACAAGGUUUCCGUAGGUGAACCUGCGGAAGGAUCAUUCUUGAAUAUCACCACUUUCCAGUGGCAACAUUUGUGAACUGUACAUUAUCCUUGUGCGGACCGGCGGAACAUCGAGUGACACGGCUAGUCGACACGGUAAACUCCGCAACGCUUUUGCCUGUCUCAUCUUUGCUUCGGCGCCGCACGUUAAGCACGUACCUCGAAAACUUGAAACUUAAUUAAAAUAUCAAAUCUAAAUACAACUUUUAGCAACGGAUCUCUAGGCUCUC
rnacentral:misc_RNA from 1 species